ensembl:lncRNA
GAUUCAUGAAAGCCCCAAUCCAUCGACUUUUAAUAGGAUCUUCAUUCAUUUUGCUUACAAAAGAUGAAGAAAAAGUUCCAAGAAGACUGUACAAUGAUUUUCUGAGGUCACAGUCUAUGAAAAGUGGGCCUCAAAUAAAGAACUCGAGUCUUAUAUAAGAUGCAUAGACGAAGAAAAAAAGAAGAGGAAACACAGCAAAAUUCUAAGAGUAAAUACCUCUAAUGGGAGAGUUUUUGUUUGUCUGCAUCUUCUGGAAAAAAAAUGGAAAGUGAAAUUCUUCUAAAUUUCCACAACAAACAUGCCUUAAAGUCAUAAUCAGAAAAAAGUAAAUGUUAUUAAAAAUAUCUUUUGCUAUAGCAUAAUUUCUUCAAGUUCUACUUCUACUAGACUAGAGCAAGUCUCUUACUUGCCUUCAUUGAGAACUUUGCAUUGUCAACGUCUUUGAUGGGACCAUCUGCUAGAAGUUAAUAUUAUUACCAAAGAUAAGGAGUUGGAAAGGUAAUGCAAAUUUAUUCCAAUUACACAGAAAAUAUCCAAAUAAAGAACCUGUGUACCUUACUCUGUGGCA